AUACGUAGGUGGCGAGCGUUAUUCGGAUUUAUUGGGCGUAAAGGGUUCGUAGGCUGUUGUGUAAGUCUGAAGUGAAAUCCCGUGGCUCAACCACGGAACUGCUUUGGAUACUGCAUGACUAGAGUACUGGAGAGGCAAGCAGAAUUCCUGGUGUAGCGGUGGAAUGCGUAGAUAUCAGGAGGAAUACCAAUUGCGAAGGCAGCUUGCUGGACAGUUACUGACGCUGAGGAACGAAAGCUAGGGGAGCGAACAGGAUUAGAUACCCUAGUAGUCC
rnacentral:rRNA from 1 species